AGAGAGCUGCAGGGUGGAGGAGAGCGCGGACAGAGGGUUGGAGACUCUGACAUCUGUAGAAAAUGAAAAAGAAAAGGAGCCAUCGUCCAAUACGCUGACAUGAUGUGAACUUUGACCUUUAGCCGUCGUUUCCAGGAACUCUACAGAGACAAAAAAGAGGUCCGGUCCUGCCAGACUAGGAAUCCCUGAAAAUCACAGAAAAACACAGUAUCAGCUGACCUGUGGGUUGGUCGGGACAUCCAGCCAAGUUUCCAGAAACCUCCACAACAAAAGUUCCCCCAGCCUGAACUCUGUCUGCCGGAGACGACACAUUAACUCUGUGAAGAAACGGUCCCUCAGUCCUGUAGAGAGCCACAGUCGCCCGUCCUCCUCCAACAGGCAAAGUCAGAGCACUAGGAGAAAAGAAAUAUCCAGAACA